AACGUAGGGGACAAGCGUUAUCCGGAUUUACUGGGCGUAAAGCGCCCGUAGGCGGCCUGACAAGUUGGACGUGAAAGCUCCUGGCUUAACUGGGAGAGGCCGUUCAAAACUGUCAAGCUAGAGUCUGGAAGAAGGAGAGCGGAAUUCCCGGUGUAGUGGUGGAAUGCGUAGAGAUCGGGAGGAACACCAGUGGCGAAAGCGGCUCUCUGGUCCAAAACUGACGCUGAGGGCGAAAGCGUGGGGAGCGAACGGG
rnacentral:rRNA from 1 species